rnacentral:rRNA from 1 species
UACUUCGCCGGCGACCGGCGCACGGGUGAGUAACACGUGUGCAACCAACCCCGUACCGGGAGAUAACCCGCGGAAACGUGGACUAACAUCCCAUAACACUGUAUCAUCGCAUGGUGAUGCAUUUAAAAUUCCGGUGGUACGGGACGGGCACGCGCGACAUUAGGUAGUUGGCGGGGUAACGGCCCACCAAGCCGACGAUGUCUAGGGGUUCUGAGAGGAAGGUCCCCCACACUGGAACUGAGACACGGUCCAG